UGGACAGUCAUUAGGAAAGACACAUAUCCCUUUAGAAUUUCGAACCAUUCCUUCUGGACAAAAGCACCCACGUUUGCAAGAUUCAAUGCAGUGACGGCAGAAAGUGUAUGGGCAUGAAGAUUCAAAGAAAAAGAUGCGGCCGUUGAAAGAUUUAUAUGCUCCUUUGCUCCAGGUACCUGAACCACUAAGGCCAGUUUCACCAAAUUCAUUUAGUCCAGAAGCACCAACACCAAGUUCAUCUGCACUCUUACCUCCUCCACCACUUCCAGAAUCAGAAGACCAAGUGUUUCCUCCUAAUGGAAAUCAAAAUGAGAAAUCUCUUGAGACCUCACUCAGAGUGCACAUCCUUACCACAGUACAAGGCUAAUGAGCUUGGAUCGAUGGUGUUCUCAGCCCAGUGGACUGAAAACAAUAGAUUGAAGAUUUGUGGCAACCCUGUGACUACCAACUCUAUUGAAACCAUUUCUCCAAUAGCAUGAGCUCACUUCAGGUCUUUGUAUCACAUUUUCAUAAUUCUCACAAUAUUUCAAAUUUAUUAUUAUUAUUA
rnacentral:lncRNA from 1 species